rnacentral:rRNA from 1 species
AAACCCUGACGCAGCAACGCCGCGUGGGUGAAGAAGGCCUUCGGGUCGUAAAGCCCUUUCGGACGGACGAACGCUCCGCGGGACAAGCCGCGGAGUCUGACGGUACCGUAGGAAGAAGCACCGGCUAACUCCGUGCCAGCAGCCGCGGUAAUACGGAGGGUGCGAGCGUUGUUCGGAAUUACUGGGCGUAAAGCGCGUGUAGGCGGCUUUGCAAGCCAGACGUGAAAGCCCUCGGCUUAACCGGGGAAGUGCGUCUGGAACUGCUUGGCUUGAGUACGGGAGAGGGAGGCGGAAUUCCCAGUGUAGAGGUGAAAUUCGUAGAUAUUGGGAGGAACACCGGUGGCGAAAGCGGCCUCCUGGACCGAUACUGACGCUGAGACGCGAAAGCGUGGGGAGCAAACAGGAUUAGAUACCCUGGUAGUCCACGCGGUAAACGAUGGGCACUAGGUGUGGGGGGUAUCCACUCCUCCCGUGCCGAAGCUAACGCAUUAAGUGCCCCGCCUGGGGAGUACGGCCGCAAGGUUA